rnacentral:rRNA from 1 species
AAACAUAUUAAAAUGUUAAUAAAUCUAACCUUGAUGUUUAAUUAAGAAAUUUAAUUUUUAUUUUUUAAUUUAUAAAAUUUAAAUUCCAAUAAUACAAUAAUUUAAAAUUAACUCCUAAUGGAUUUAACCACUAAUAAACCUUAAAUUAAACUAAAUUUUUAAGUAAGCCAUUAAGUGCCUGCACCCGCGGUUAAACUUUCUGCUUGAAUAAAUUAUUAUAAAAACUUUGUAAAACCCAUAAUAAUUUAAAUAAAUAUUUAAAUGAAAUUUUUAUUUUUUGACUUAAAUUUUUAUAUUAAAAAUCUUAUAGUAACUAGGAUUAGAUACCCUAUUAAAAAGAUUGAAUCUUGGUAUUUAUAACACUAAAUAAUUUGGCAGUAUUUUAUUCUUAUUAAAGGAACUUGUCUCAUAAACGAUAAUCCCCGAUAAUUUUUUACCUUUUUUAGUAAGCAUUUUAUGUAUAGUUGUUAUAAAUAUUUUUAAAAUUUAUUUUUGGAAAAUAUUUUUAUAUCAAAUCAAUAUAUAGAUAAUAAAAAGGCCUUAGAUGAGUUACAAUUAAAAUUAUUAUUUAAAAUAAAAACAUAAAAUUGGAUUUAAUAGUAAAAAUUUCUUUAUAAGCUAUUUUAACCUAAGCAAUAAAGUAUGCACAAAUCGCCCGUCAUCCCUUAUAGGGCAAGUCGUAACAAAGUAGAACUAUUGGAAAAUAAUUCUUUCAAUAACUCCAAU